rnacentral:antisense_RNA from 1 species
CAAAACCCAGACAGAAACGUCCAACAAACUCCCAGUCCAGGAGCGCUGCAAAACCAACGCCAGUCUAGUUUGGGGUCUCUAUAAUCCUGCUCCUUUGGCUGCCAGCCAUCUCCAUAAAAAAAGAAUUUGAAAGGCUUCCAUUCUUUCAGAGACCUGUUUCCCGGGACUGGCUGCAAGGGAGAGACGCACUGACCCUCUGCCAGGUAUAGAACUAUUGAAUGGUAGAGUUUGAGAUCUUCGAAACCAUCAAGACUGAUCAUUUUCUGGCUACUUUCUACAUAGGAAUCCUAGAGUUCCUUGGAGAGGAUAUGAAGGUUAUUUUCAGGCCAUGCAGAUGGGCAGGAAAGGAUGUGCGUCCAUGGUUCCUCUUCAAAUUCAACCAAAACAGCCUUGCUUCCGUUGGCUUUAUAUAAUACUGCAACUCUUGAUAAUUAAUCUGAUUUAACACAAAUUUCCUCAUUGAGUUUCUCCUCAUGAAGAAACGGCCUUAGUGAGGUAAAUCGGAAUGCACAGGAGCACAUAGCAGGUUAGUGCAGACCAGAAAUCAAACCCAGGCUUUCUGACUGCUCAAUAGACCACAAUCUACCAUGCUACCAUGGAAACUUUAAAACAGAUGAAAGUAAAAACAAACAAACAACAACUUAAAAAAACAAAAACAAA